rnacentral:rRNA from 1 species
UAGGGAAUCUUCGGCAAUGGGGGGAACCCUGACCGAGCAACGCCGCGUGAGUGAAGAAGGUUUUCGGAUCGUAAAGCUCUGUUGUUAAGGAAGAACGAGUGUGAGAAUGGAAAGUUCAUGCUGUGACGGUACUUAACCAGAAAGGGACGGCUAACUACGUGCCAGCAGCCGCGGUAAUACGUAGGUCCCGAGCGUUGUCCGGAUUUAUUGGGCGUAAAGCGAGCGCAGGCGGUUAGAAAAGUCUGAAGUGAAAGGCAGUGGCUCAACCAUUGUAGGCUUUGGAAACUGUUUAACUUGAGUGCAGAAGGGGAGGGUGGAAUUCCAUGUGUAGCGGUGAAAUGCGUAGAUAUAUGGAGGAACACCGGUGGCGAAAGCGGCUCUCUGGUCUGUAACUGACGCGGAGGCUCGAAAGCGUGGGGAGCGAACAGG